ACAUGAAAAGGUGGAAGUAUGCAUACCAAGUGGAAGAGUCUAAUCAAUUGAGGUUAGCCAGCUGCUUCGUUGUUGAUAAAGGCCCUGUCUCUGAGGGUCUGCUUGCUGCAGGUGCCAUGGCUGUGGGAGUAGGAAACAAACCACAAGCAAAGCCUGGAAGGGCAGCACAUGGAGGAACUUCACAUAUGCAUCCCUCAGCUGCCAGGGCUGAGGGAGCAGUGCUGGGACCUUCUUCAAUCCUGAUAUUACAAGACGACAUCUGCUGUCCCUGGGAAGAGGUGGGCUCUGCUGCCCCAUAACCAGUUGUUUAUCCUGCUGGGGAAGAUAACAUUGAGAACGCUAAUCUUCUGGAUAACUUUCCCCUGAAACUUGAACACGUUUGAGAAGUGCACCAUGUAACAGUGCAAAUCAGGA